GGUAAUACGUAGGGUGCAAGCGUUAAUCGGAAUUACUGGGCGUAAAGCGUGCGCAGGCGGUUGUGUAAGUCAGAUGUGAAAUCCCCGGGCUCAACCUGGGAAUUGCAUUUGAGACUGCACGGCUAGAGUGUGUCAGAGGGGGGUAGAAUUCCACGUGUAGCAGUGAAAUGCGUAGAUAUGUGGAGGAAUACCGAUGGCGAAGGCAGCCCCCUGGGAUAACACUGACGCUCAUGCACGAAAGCGUGGGGAGCAAACAGGAUU
rnacentral:rRNA from 1 species